CUUGAAGCUUCAGAGCCAGCAAAAGUCCCACUGGGAUCCUCUCAGCACAGCAAAACAGAGCCAGCCUGAAAGGUUAGGAGUAUCUGAUUCCACUGCUGCUGGGGUGGGGGUGGGGGUUCAACUAGCCAGUAGUGCUUACUUCUGGCCAUUAAAUCCAUCCCAACCCAGAGAAGAUCUGGAAGGCUCGUAAAAUUAUAUUUGUCUUGCUGCUAAAAAGUCUGCCAAUAGGGAAUCUUCUUCCAGCUGUCGGAAAGGGAUCCAGGUUCUAUUUUGACAACUGCAAUAAGUGGCAACAGCAGAAAAUUCCAUGGCUGGCCAGAGUUCCUCAUUAUAUUGCUAUUUUAAGAUAGAUCUAAAGCAACAUUGUAUAUUUCUUGAAAUAUUACUAUUAUUAUUAUUAUUUUGGUACUGAGGAUUAAACCCAGGGAUGCUUAAAAUAUUGAACCAUAUCCUCAGCUCUUUUUUUACUUCAAGACAGGGUCUUACUAAGUUGCUCAGAGCCUCACUAAGUUGGUGAGGCUGGCUUUGAACUUGCUAUCCUCCUGCCUCAGCCUCCCAAAUCACUGGGAUUACAGGCCUGCACCGCUAUUCCUGGCAAAUUCUUAAGAGCAAAGUAGAUAGAAAGAUGCCACUAACAAAUGGAAGAACACUGAAUAAUCAAGAUUCUUCUCUUGAUAAAGGAAACAAAUUCAAGAUGGAAGGUCAAGAAUCAAAAUGAAACUGUCCAUACUGAUUACAUAGUAUUAAUUAUGAAAAGGGCUAGAUUCAAAUUUGAGCUUUAUUACUAAAUUUUUUAAACUACAGUUGGCUCAUUUUUAAUGGGGAAUAAUAAGAUCUAUUUCAGGUAGUCUUUGUGACAUGUAAUUGAGAUAAAAAUUAAUGUACAAUUUUUUGCAAUAUUAAUUAAUGUGAGAUUUUUCUCUUUCUGAACUUCCCAAGGUCGUUUGUGUACCCUUUCCUUGGGGAUUAUUUAUAAGGAGAAAAGCAAUUGUUGAAAGACAAAAAGGUGGGGGCUGGGUUGUGGCUCAGUGGUAAAGCGCUGGCCUCGAAAGUGCGAGGCUCUGGGUUCGAUCCUCGGCAUCACAUAAACAUAAAUAAAUAAAAUAAAGAUGUUGUGUUCAACUACAGAUAAAAAAAUAAAUAAAAUAUUUUUAAAAAGACAAAAAGGUUUUCUGUGUUUUCCAAAGCUUCAACUUAUCCAGGAGAUUGUCUUGGGGGAGUGGAGAGGAUAGGAAGGUAAGUGGGAAUCCUUUCAGGGAAAGAAACAUGAAUAGAGAGUUAAGUGGAUGUACAUCAAGUUUAUAAAAGAGAUAAAGGCAGUUCCAUGAUGGAAACUACUGUUCUUCUGGUGGUUGGGUUUCCACAGGUGAGAGGUACAUAGGGGAAAUUGAAUGCUAAUACUGCUAUCAGCCCUGGUAAAUGUAACUGCCCAAAAGGAGGUGGUAUGGCAAAUGAGUAUUUCCGAGGGACUAAAGAGUUUGGGUAAUUAAUAUCUCUGUGGUGGCCCAUGUGAACCAAAACCCAGAGAGAGUUCUCCAAUUAUGUUUCUCUUGAUGGACCUAUGGGACCUUUUAUAUAACUCAUUGGAUGGGAAAGUAUCUUUGUCUAUUUUUCCUUGAAAUCACAGGUUAAGAGAAGAACUUGGAUGCAGGUAAUUUAUUUGGGAAAUAAUCCCAGAGAUCAAGAGUUUGGGAAAGGAAAUUAGGAGAAGUUAAUAGAAGGUGUAUUAUUGAGUUGGUUACUGUCAUGGACUCAAAUCAAAACUGUCCAUCAAAGGAAAUAGGAGAAAAUUAUUUAUUUACCUACUUCUACCUGCUAAGAGUUGGGUUAUUAACACCUGUAGUUUGCAUAUAUGUUAAAUGCUGAGUAGGCACCUAUGGAUAAUCACAGCAAAUCAUCGGAGAAUGCUGAGGUAGGAAGUGAGAGAAAGAAGGCAGAGUUUGAAGUGAGGUGCUGUCAGUGCAAAGAGGGUAGAACUCUGAAAGGACAUUUUGCAUGACUGGAAUCAGAUUUGAGGCUUAGAGGAUGUGCAGUUGGGUUCCAGGUAUGAUAACAGCAAGAGAGGCUCAAUAAUGACUAACCAUUAAGAGGCAUAAAAACUUUAAAAAAUUAUUUUCCUCCUAAUUAAAAAAGUCAUACAACCAUUUCUGGAAAAAAACUAAUUUUAUUUGAUUAAUUGCAAAUGGAAUUUUCUGGAUGUAUCUUUACUUGAAGUCUAAGAUUUAUUUUCACUGCUGCAACAUGAUGCCUAACAGGCAUAUUAAAACUAGGUUAUUUGUCUGUUGUUAAACAAAGUUAGUUGCCUUCCUCUUCACGCAUCAAUAUACAUGUACAUGCAGGCACACAUAUUUAUACACACCCCUAAGGAAUAAGAGGAAAAGUUCUUAGUAAUGUGAUUCCAUUGUGAGUUUGUACUUGCGUAAUGUUAGCAUUUGGCUCCAAAUCUCCAAGAAACUGACCAAGGAUCUUUCCCUCCAACCAAAAUUGCUGGUUUAGAGUUUGACCAUUACCUCAUUCAUUAUUCUGCAGAAAAUCAUUAUAAGGAAUAUUAUUCCAUUCAAAGCACAGCUUCUCAAACUUUAAUGUGUAUAUAAAUCACUCAAAUGAUAAUUAUCUUACUUCUCUGCUUCUUUGAGUUUCCCUUUACCACUUAUCUUCUAACAUACUACAUAUAUAACUUGUUCAUGUUUAUUGUUUGUCUCACCCACUAUAAUGUAAGCAUCAUGAAGGCAUGGAUUCUUGUUUAUUUGUAUGCCUAGCUCAUAUUAAAACUCAAAGAGUAAGUGAAUAGUGAAAAUAAUUCCUCAAUGAAUUGCAUUUUAAAACACAUCAAGCAUUCUGAAGAGUGCCUGUGGAAUAUCAAAAUAAAAUAGCACUGGGUACUCUUGGAUUCUGAAAACAUGGCCAGAUUAGAUAUUCUUGAAUUUGACCUCUUCUGGCUUUCAGUGAAUUUAAACAGGUUUGUUGAAUGAUUAGUUCAUGAUAUAGUAAUGAAUAAUUCCCAAAUACCUAUAAUUUAAGAGGACAUUUAUUUCUUAAUCAUGCUACAUGUCCACUGUGGGUCAGCAGCAGGUCUAUGCCCACUCUGGUUACUCAGGAUCCCAGACCGACAAAAUAAUUACAAUAUUGAAUAUUGUCAGUCAAAGGGAAAGAGAACUCUGGAAGAUGUGACACCAACAAUUAAAUGCUUAGGCUAUAAGAGAUUCAUGUCACUCUUGCUGACCCAAUCAUUUGGCCCCACCCACUUAUAAGAGGGCCAGGGAAGCUCAAUCCUUCCGUGUGCCCAGUGUAUGGCAGAGACUAAAAUACUUGGUAAGUCCUUUCUAUUGCCAUUUCCUCACAAUCUGCAAUGUUAACUGUCCAGUUAGUUUAUUAUUCCAUAAUUCCCCUCUCCUGACUGGCAACAGAAUCUUUACAGUGCCCUCUAGUGGUACUUAGAGCUACCGCAUUAGUUCUCUAGAGAACUGAAUUCUGAAACUGCUGGAACUGAGCUUAACCCCGCUGGAAUGAAUUAACAGCAUCGGAUAGUCCAGUUAGCCCAACUUUGUAAGCCUAAUAAAGGUAUGCUGGCUAAACCCUAAUUCUUCAAUACCACUUUCUCAGGUACACUGUGGUAUAUCUUUUCUUCCUGACAAGACUAUCCAAAUUUCAAGUAUUUAAGAUACAAAAUCCAACAUUUUUUCACUGUAUAAAUGGUUUUUAUUGCACAGAAACUCUGUCUUCAAUAAACUUUCUCUUCUUUUAAAGUAUAUAAAUAUCAUGAUGAAGCCAAAACGUUAUGUAAUUCCUGAAGUCUAUCUGCAAACUCAACUGGAAUAAUGAUUUUUUUUUAAAUUACUAGAAUGAGAGGAUUUGUUUCUGAGGGAAGCAUAAUUUCACGUUUCUGGUCUCUUAUUAUUGCUUUCUAACUGGAAUCUAUGAACCCUUGGCUACAACAGUAUUUUCAUAUAACUAGUUUCCUUUAUAAUGGUAUGUAUUUUGUUUUAUACAUUUGAAAUCAUAAACCGGAAGAGGGGUCCAAAACUUCAACAGUCUGCAAAGGAGUUACUGGCAUGUUAAAAUCUAUAUAUAAAGCAAGUUCUACCAGUAUGAGGAAACAUUUAAAAAUCUAACACAUGGUGGUGCUAUUGCUUUAAGAGUAAGGAAGAGUAAGGCAAACUAGUUGAAUAAGAAUAUAAAUUUCUUCAGAGAAGCUUGAGGAACCCUAGUGGUGAUGUGGUCACAGAAAGUUACAGUGGUUUUAAAUCUUUAGAAAUUUUAUGAAUUCUUAGCAUAUAAAAUACAAGUUCAUUAACUAAGAUAGUUUGGUCAAAUACAUAAAAUAUAAAUAAAUAUGGAUUUUACCAAAACAAUAUGUAACCCCAAAACAGUAAGUGUUUGAGGACUUAUUAGCCAAUCAAUUCCUUAAACAUUUAUUGUACACGAGAUUAUGGAUUUUCUUUAAUACACAGAUGGCUCAUGCACUUAAGUGCAUACUUCACAUGCACCAAAUUCCAGCCUGGUAUAAACAUGAUGAUUAACAUGGCAAGUUCAAAAGUGAAAGAACAACUCCUGAAUAGGAACUGAUUAUCAAUGAUGGAAAUUGCACAAAGAACCAAGGAACCAACAUAAUAUAGAGCUGGUUAUACUGGCUAAAAUAACAUUUACUUACAGAUGAAAUGAUUUACUUAUAAGAAGGGGGAGAAAGUGGUAGUGGGUAGUGGUAGAGAUCAAAUCAGAUGACCAUAUGAUAAUUGUUAAAGCAGAGAAUGAGCAAAUGGGAAAUCCUUAAAUAAUCUCUGUAUUUUUGUAUAUAUUUGAAACUCUUCAUUAAAAAAUAAAAUUAGCAUAUACAUAAAAUAACAGUGCUAAAGGGUUGAAUUUUUGGUGAUCAGUCAGGUGUGUGAGAAUACACACCAACCAGAGGAAGGUAUAAUACUGAGUGAAUCCCCCAAUUAGAUUUGUGUUGUCUUCCCCCCUCCCCCGCCCCAUAAGGAAAAGAUUUUGCAACAUUGUUCUGUAAGAUCUAAAAAAUAGUUUUUUAAAGAAAAUUUCCUGACCUCUUAUUUGGGGGAUGGAUGGGAGUAUUGUCAAAGAAUCAGGUAUUUGGAAAGACAAGAGACUCUAGCAUUUUUAGGCAUAAGGAACUGAACAAAAGCUGCUAUUUUCUCUCUUUGUAAAUUCUUAAUGACUUUAAAGGAGAAAAGUUAACUUAUUUUUAUUAACUAUGGUUCACUUAAGAUAUAUGUUUAAAUAAAUCUGUUUCAUGUCCAUUGACAAAAGAAUAUUUUCCCACAUUGUUAUAAGUGCAUACCUGUGGGAUUUAAUAUUUUUGAAAAGCUUAAUGAAAAUGCUUUUUUUAAAAAAAAAUCCAUUAAUGCCUCCAUUUAUGCUCUAAUCACAAGAGGAAAAAAACUUGAAAUUGAUCUUUUUUAGCAUUUAGAAAACCUCUAUUUUUUUAGGAUAACAUAAAGGAAAGCAUUUCUAUUUUUAGUUUUACAAAGCCAAGUAGGAAUCACAAUAUUCUCUGUCAAGACAAAUGUAGUACUCUAUUCUCCUGAAUAAAAUAAAAAAUUAUUAAUGGUAAUGCAACGCAUUUUUCUUCAAACUAAAAAAGACCUAUAACCCAAUUAAUAAUGCAGUUGUUCAAGUUAUCUCAUUGAUAAACUGAAUAUUUUUUCUCCCACAUCCUGUCUACGAUUAAGGUUUGGCUAAGAGAUUAAAUCUAGAAGAAGGAGGAUAUGACUCAGAGGAAAUGGAAAGCCUGAAUUUAUCCUUCUGUACCAAGAGGAUUGUGGCAGAGAAGAGAGAAGGCAGAUUGAGGAGCAAUGAAGGCCAUGAAUCCCCUCCCUCAGCUUUGGCCAAAAUGGGAACACCCAUAUCUGAGGACUCUUCCUCAUUCCAUGUUUGAGGCUACAAAAGGAGGUUAUCCACUGACCUGGUAGCAGCUUCAGCAAGGAAAUCUGUGGUACAGGCUCAUUGCAAAGAGUAGGGGUCUGAGUUCAACUUUCCUGAGUUGUCCUUGGUUUCUAGAUGGAUAAGAUGGAAGGUUCCUGCAUUUCCUUAAAAAUGGCUUGAGGAGGUAGUGAGUUUACAUACUAUGCAUGAAGCUGGAAUCAAAAGCAGGUACAGGAAACGGGAAUUUAGCUCAGUAGAGUGAGUGGACACUGAGGGGAGCUAUCCUAGUAAGCAUGAGUUCAAAAGAAGGUCAAAGCAGGACUAAUUACUGCCUAUCAUAGGGCCAAAUCAACUAAAACAGCUGAAAUCAGUAAAUUCCUGAAGUUUCAACAGAAACAUGAGGGAUUUUUCCUCCUCAUGGGCUUCCUCAACUCAUGAGACAAUCAUUAAGAAGUAGCACAAAUGUGUGUUUGUUUCUUCUGUCCCUUCCCUCAUCUUGCUACUUAGUAUGCUGAUAACAAAGAGGUCAAAUCUACAGAGUGGAGCAAAAAGAUAGAAUCUGGUUUCUGUAUUAUGUCAUUGUGUACCAUACUACCUUUGGAUCUCUGAUAUGAGCUUUACUUUGGAAAGAAUGAUUUUCUAUGCUUAAUAAUUAUUGUUUUGUUGUUGAUGACUGCAGUUGAGCCUAAUCCUAACAAAUUAAUAACACUUAUAAUAGGUGGAGUUUCCCAAGAAGCAGACUGAAAUGGAGAGUGGCAUGCAGAAGUAUAUUGGAGAUACUUUUGGAAUCCAAAGUUGUGGAAGGAAGGAUACAGGAUUGGGCAGAGGGAGAAGAUGAGCUGUGAUGUAGUCACAAUAAGGCCUCUCAGAUGACCCCAAGAAGAAAACUGAUGCUGGCAUGGCCAUUGAUAGUUGCCCAGAUUAUCCACAUUCAAUAUGGGCAGCCUCCAGGGAAGGAAGUGUGAUUGUGGUUGAUGUGCAUAUCUAUAGUCAAAGCCAAAGAGGGAGGACAGCUAGGUCUGCCAACCAUUUCACAGGAUCAGAAUAAAUGAUUUCACAGCAACUCUAACUUCCUUCAAAGACUGACAAUUGUGAAUCCUUACAAAAUCCUGGAGUCCUGUGGAGGGCUCAGCUGUCUUGACAAGGAAACAAGAGUCAGACGGUUUAAUGAGACCAACCCUCUCAUCUUCCAGAUAUGUAGCACUGUGUGGUGCAGUCCUGUUAAGCCACUGGUUUCCCAUGUCUACCAGUUCCUGAUACAGAACAUUUUUUACAAUUUUUUCUUCACCUUGAUAUUAUUUCAUCUUGUAAUGUAUAUUCUCCAGUAGUGGUCACACAAUAGAAAUGCAAAUUAAAACUAUACUGAGAUUUCAUCUCAAUCAGUAUGGCAAUGAUCAAGAAUAUAAACAACAAUAAAUAUUGGUGAGGAUAUGGGGGAAAGGGUACACUCAUACAUUGCUUGUGAGGCUGCAAAUUGGUGCAACCACUAUGUAAAGCAGUAUGGAGAUUCCUCAAAAAACUAGAAAUGGAACCACCCUUUGACCCAGUUAUACCACUCCUAGCUAUAUACUCAAGGGAGUUAAAAUCAGCGUACUAUAGUGAUGCAGCCAUAUCAAUGUUUAUAGCAGCUCAACUCAUAAUAGCUAAGCUAUGGAACCAAUCUAGGUGCCCUUCAACAGACAAAUGGAUAAAGAAAAUGUGGUAUAUAUACACAAUGAAAUAUAUAAAAAAGAAUGACUUUAUGCUUUUUCCUGGUAAAUGGGUGGUUCUGGAGACUAUCAUGCUAAGUGAAAUAAGCCAACCCACCAAAAGCCAAAGGUCAAAUGUUCUCUUUUUAUGUGGAUGCUAACACACAAGGGGCGGGGAGGGGUUGGCAGGAGAGGAAGAAUAGAAAUUCAGUAGAUUAGAUAAAGGGAAAUGAAGAGAAGGGAGGAGGUGUAAGAAUAGGGAAGAUAGUAGAAUGAGUCAGACAUAACUUUCCUAUGUUUAUAUAUGAAUACACCACCAGUGGAACUCCACAUCAUGUAUAAUCACAAGAAUGGGAUCCUAAUUAGAAUAAGUCAUAUCCAUGUACGUAUAAUAUGUCAAAAUACACUUUACUGUCUUGUGUAUCUAAAAAGAACAAAUAAAGAAAUUUAAAAAAUCAAACAGAAUCUCUCAUUUUAGUAAUUUCUACAUUAUGUGCACCACCUUCUCAAUAUAGAAAAUGAGAAAACUUACAUAGAUUCUUUUAAAGAAAAUAUAAACUUGUGUCAUAUAUUCCACAGUCAGGUAAGACUCAGAUUCUUCUAACUGCAGUGUAAGGAAAUGGCCACAGGUAGCAGGACUGUUCUUCAUAUGCAGAAAAGGGACUUCUGGCAUGCUAUCCUAAACAUCAUCAGUGCUAAAGGGGAGAGGAAGUGAGGGGAAAGGGAAAAAUAAUACAAGGGGGACAAAUGAAUGUCAGUAGAGGGGGCAGAGAGAGAAGAGGGGAGGGGAGGGGAGGGGAGGGGGGAUAGUAGAGGAUAGGAAAGGCAGCAGAACACAACAGACACUAGUAUGGCAAUAUGUAAUUCAAUGGAUGUGUAACUGAUGUGAUUCUGCAAUCUGUAUAUGGGGUAAAAAUGGGAGCUCAUAACCCACUUGAAUCAAAGUGUGAAAUAUGAUAUAUCAAGAACUAUGUAAUGUUUUGAACAACCAACAAUAAAAAAUUAAAAAAAAAUAAAAAUAAAGGGGAGUGGUAGUGAUAUGCCUCCAACACCCCUGCCUCCAACCAAAGUGUGUCCUAACCAUCUUUGGCUUUGGAGUCUCGGAGUCUGACCUCUCUGAUCCUCCAAGAGACUCUCUGAGCUAACAAUUUUCCUUUAACAAAUCUCUUUACUUCUUUAUUUUUAGUGUCUUUUGGUUAACCUAGCUAGAGAGGAUUCUAUUAUAGCCAGUUAAUAUCCCCAAAUAAAAUAUCCCUAAUAGGCAAAUGCAGUCAGCAAAGGCUCAUAUAAAUCAAAUCCCAUCUUACAUAUAUUAAUAAUUUUCUGGUAUCUUCACUUUACCUGACUUCUGCUUUAACUCUGUAGCCUCAAAUUUGCAUCUUAGAGCCAGGUGCAGUGGCACAUGCCUUUAAUCCCAGCGGCUUGGGAGGCUGAGGCAGGAGGAUUGUGAGUUCAAAGCCAGCCUCAGCAACAGCAAGGUGCUUAGCAACUAGUGAGACCCUUUCCUCUAAAUAAAAUACAAAAUAGGGCUGGGUAUGUGGCUCAAUGGUUGAGUGCCCCUGAGUUCAAUCCCUGGUACCAAAAAAAAAAAAAAAAAUUCAUCUUAGAUAUUACAUUAACUUUCCCUUUCCAUAGGGAAACAAAGACUUAUGACAUAAUUUAAUGGCCCACAUUGUAGUGGUUUCUAGCUGGAAUCUAGAAGAAGUAGGGUGUUACUAAAGGGUUGAAUUUUUGGUGAUCAGAGUCAGGUGUGUGAGAAUAUACACCAAACCAUGGAAUUAAUGGAAAAAUCAAUGCAGAAGAGGUUGUAGGUUGUAUUUUAGGGUACCCACAGAAUAUGCCUCAGCUUUACAACAAAGUUUCAUAAUAUGUGUAAUAAGAAUUGUAAUGCAAAAAAAAACAAGUACAUGUAUAAAGACAUGAAUUGGCAUGAAUAUACUUUAUACAAAGAUAUGAAAAAUUGUGCUCUAUAUGUGUAAUAAGAAUUGUAAUACAUUCUGCUGUUGUGUAUUUAAAAAAAUAAAAUCAAUAAAAAAUUUUUAAAAAGAG
rnacentral:lncRNA from 1 species